UGGGAUGAUUGAUCUCCAUUCUUGGUGGCCACUUAUGACACUUUCUUCACUCUGAGUCGAAAGAAAGUCCAGAAGAGUUCUCUUCUAACCUUCUCUGACUCUGAGCAGUGUUCAGCUGUAUGAUACCAGUGACCACAGAGCACACCUCCUUCUUCCUACAGAGCCCAGAAUGCCCUUUCCAGAUCCUUUUUAAGGAGUCUAUAUUCCUUUUGCCACUGAAGGAGAAACAGAACCCAGAAGACCCUUAAGGCAUUGGAUCAAACUGCUGAUAGUGAGCUCUUCCUUGUUGCAAGAAAUCAGUCAUCUCUUCUUCUUAUUGCAAGAAGUAUGGAUUUCAUUCAAACCCUCUGUGUGCCUUCCAG